GAUUCUGGCUCAGGAUGAACGCUGGCGGCGUGCCUAACACAUGCAAGUCGAACGAAGCACUGCGGAUGGAGAUUCGUCAAAAUCUGCUUUGACUUAGUGGCGGACGGGUGAGUAAUGUGUGAGCAACCUGCCUUUCAGAGGGGGACAACAGUUGGAAACGACUGCUAAUACCGCAUAAUGUAUUGGAAGGGCAUCCUUUUGAUACCAAAGGAGCAAUCCGCUGAAAGAUGGGCUCACAUCUGAUUAGCUAGUUGGUGGGGUAACGGCCUACCAAGGCUGCGAUCAGUAGCCGGACUGAGAGGUUGAACGGCCACAUUGGACUGAGAUACGGCCCAGACUCCUACGGGAGGCAGCAGUGGGGAAUAUUGGGCAAUGGGCGAAAGCCUGAACCCCAGCAACGCCGCGUGAAGGAAGAAGGUCUUCGGAUUGUAAACUUCUUUUAUGAGGGACGAAGGACGUGACGGUACCUCAUGAAUAAGCCACGGCUAACUACGUGCCAGCCGCUGC
rnacentral:rRNA from 1 species